UACGUAGGAUGCGAGCGUUAUCCGGAUUUAUUGGGUUUAAAGGGUGCGUAGGCGGGCUUUCAAGUCAGCGGUAAAAAUUCGGGGCUCAACCCCGUCCGGCCGUUGAAACUGGGGGCCUUGAGUGGGCGAGAAGAAGGCGGAAUGCGUGGUGUAGCGGUGAAAUGCAUAGAUAUCACGCAGAACCCCGAUUGCGAAGGCAGCCUUCCGGCGCCCUACUGACGCUGAGGCACGAAAGUGCGGGGAUCGAACAGG
rnacentral:rRNA from 1 species